rnacentral:lncRNA from 1 species
CAGCUCAUGACAUGCUCGAUCCAACUUAAGUUUAGAUUGCCUCAAUAAACUCUUGUAACAAUUACGUUAUUACUCUUCUCGACAAAAGUUAUCAGAAAAUUACCUUCUCAUCCAUCUAAAGAUAAACAAAAUAAAACCUUUCUAACAUCCGGCGUUAUAUUAGAUCUUUUUUUAAAAAAUAUCAAUCCAAAAAAAGUCACACCUUCAAAUCCAAAACAAACUCCAUCACUCACUUUUCGUAGUUCAAUCAUAAUUUUAUUAUACUCCAAAAGGUGAAAUCGAUAAUUAAAAUAGUAAAAACUACAAACCAAAUGCUAUAGCUUGUAAUCAAAACUAAGUGGAACGAAAAUAGCCCCAGACAAUGGAAUCAAUAAUUAAAGUUAUCAGGAAAUCGCCUUCUUAUCCAUCUAAAGAUAAACAAAAUAAAACCCUUCUAACAUCCAGUGUUAUAUUCAAUCUUUUUUUAAAAAAACAAUCAAUCCAGAAAAAGUCGCACAUUAAAAUCCAAAAUAAACUCCAUCACUCGCUUUUCGUAGUUCAAUCAUGAUAUCAUGCUCCAAAAGGUGAAAUUGAUAAUUAAAAUAAUAAAAACUAUGAAUAAAUACUAUAGCUUGU